rnacentral:rRNA from 1 species
AAUGAACGCUGGCGGCAGGCCUAACACAUGCAAGUCGAACGGGUCCUUCGGGACUAGUGGCGGACGGGUGAGUAACGCGUGGGAACGUGCCCCUUGGUACGGAAUAGCCCCGGGAAACUGGGAGUAAUACCGUAUGUGGUCGAGAGACGAAAGAUUUAUCGCCAAGGGAUCGGCCCGCGUUGGAUUAGGUAGUUGGUGGGGUAAUGGCCUACCAAGCCGACGAUCCAUAGCUGGUUUGAGAGGAUGAUCAGCCACACUGGGACUGAGACACGGCCCAGACUCCUACGGGAGGCAGCAGUGGGGAGUCUUAGACAAUGGGGGAAACCCUGAUCUAGCCAUGCCGCGUGAUCGAUGAAGGCCUUAGGGUUGUAAAGAUCUUUCAGGUGGGAAGAUAAUGACUGUACCACCAGAAGAAGCCCCGGCUAACUCCGUGCCAGCAGCCGCGGUAA